rnacentral:misc_RNA from 1 species
AAAGUUGAAGAAUGCAAAGUGGCCGAAAUGUGUAUAACCUCCUGCACAAGUUGUGCAAUUCUGCACAAGGAGAAGAAGCAAAUUCUUAAACCUGCCAAAAUCUGCAUGACUUAUGCAGGUUCAUGCCCUGCUUAUGCAGCUCCACGGAGGAGACAAUUACUUUGGCCGAAACUUACAUAAGUUACUGCAUGACUUAUGUAGAUUCACUCCUUGCUUAUGCAGCUUCACAGAAUCCUGCAUGACUUGCUGCAUAACUUAUGCAGUUCCACUCCCCACUUGUGUAGCAUCACGGAAAGAGCACCCCAACCUACCGAAAACUGCAUAACCAGCUGCAUAACUUAUGCAAUCUACUUAUGCAGUUUUACGGAGGACUCCAAAGCUUGAAAAAUCUGCACAACCAGCCCGCAUAACUUAUGCAGCAUCACAGGAAGCACCUGAAACCACCAAAUCUGCAUAGGAAGCUUGCACAAGUUGUGCAAUUCUUUAUAAUGAGCUGGCAGAAGAAUUUU